rnacentral:rRNA from 1 species
AUUGGACGCUGGCGGAAUGCUUUACACAUGCAAGUCGAGCGGCAGCACGGGGGCAACCCUGGUGGCGAGCGGCGAACGGGUGAGAAUACAUCGGAACAUGCCCAGUCGUGGGGGAUAACACUUCGAAAGAAGUGCUAAUACCGCAUACGUCCUGAGGGAGAAAGCGGGGGAUCUUCGGACCUCGCGCGAUUGGAGUGGCCGAUGUCAGAUUAGCUAGUUGGUGGGGUAAAGGCCUACCAAGGCAACGAUCUGUAGCUGGUCUGAGAGGAUGAUCAGCCACACUGGGACUGAGACACGGCCCAGACUCCUACGGGAGGCAGCAGUGGGGAAUUUUGGACAAUGGGGGCAACCCUGAUCCAGCCAUUCCGCGUGAGUGAAGAAGGCCUUCGGGUUGUAAAGCUCUUUCGGCAGGAACGAAACGGCGAGCUCUAACAUAGCUUGCUAAUGACGGUACCUGAAGAAGAAGCACCGGCUAACUACGUGCCAGCCGCCGCCGUAAAAC